AGCCGCGUGGUGCACGGCACCGCCCUGUCGCUGCAGUCGACGCUGGCGGCGGUGGCCAUAGCCCUGGUGCUCGGCUCGGCGCUCGGCCU
rnacentral:tRNA from 1 species